UACAGAGGUCCCGAGCGUUGUUCGGAUUCACUGGGCGUAAAGGGUGCGUAGGUGGCAUGGUAAGUUUGAUGUGAAAGCUCAGGGCUUAACCCUGAAAUGGCAUUGAAUACUACUGUGCUGGAGGUUUGGAGGGGGGACUGGAAUUCUUGGUGUAGCAGUGAAAUGCGUAGAUAUCAAGAGGAACACCAGUGGCGAAGGCGAGUCCCUGGACAACACCUGACACUGAGGCAACGAAAGCUAGGGGAGCAAACAGG
rnacentral:rRNA from 1 species